GCCCUGGGUUUUUGAUCGUUAACCCCUUGGGGACGGAGCCCAUUAUGACCAUUAGAGCCCGAGAAAGCCUGAGCUGUGUACCUGCAAGCUGAGCCAGUCCACCUGCUGAAAAUCAUCCACACUGUUCCUGAAAGGACUAUUGCAUUGAGGAAACCCCACCCUGGCGUCACGACAAUUAAGGGUUAAUCCUAUACCCUACUCUACCACCCCGCAACACCCCAGACACCAUCACCCCUCCAGGCUACCACACAUGCAUCCAGGUAUUGCUGUUGUGUGACACAGUGAACACGGUGAAUUCUAUGCCAUGUCAACAUGGAAUCCAGACCACUUUUUCCAACUGUCAUUUUUUUAUUGUACCAUGUGACCAAACUUGGUGUGUAUUUUAACAUGUUAUGUCAGUAAUGAAACUACUACGCAUUGCUGCGUGAAACGCGUCAGAGGUUUCCUGUUUGUACUUAAUUUAUCCUGUUGAAGUCCUAAAUAAAGAAAUUUUA